GAGAUAGCAUUUGAUAUUUCAAAAACUUUAUAACACUAUUACUCCAUCACGAUAGCUACAUGUACAUUAAUACUUCCCUUAUUAUACAUGAAACCCAAUUUGCUGAAAUCUCUCUCCUCUUCUUCUUGGUUAUCUCUUUUCCGCCAUCACAAACUCUCACUGUUCUCUUUCCAUACCAAUUGCCACAACGUUGCAAACCUCCAAACUUUUAAGGAAUCAACCUCUGCAACCCCUACCCACUCCAACGUUGUCAAAUUGGGUUUGUUAAAUGACAUCUUUACCACCAACAAUCUCAUUAAAUCCUAUCUCAAACUCCUUAGAAUCGACCAUGCACAGAAACUGUUUGACGAAAUGCCUCACCGAAAUGUUGUGUCUUGGUCUUUGCUUAUGGCUGGUUAUGUCAGCCAGGGUCAACCCAAUAUGGCACUAUGUCUCUUCCAUCAAAUGCAAGGAACAUAUGUUAUGCCAAAUGAAUUCACAUUUUCUACUAUCAUCAAGGCAUGUUCUAUUCUUGCCAAACUUGAGAUUGGUAGAAGAGUUCAUGCUCUUGUAGAGGUUUUCGGUUACGGUUCCGAUCUUGUUGUGUGUUCUUCUCUUGUUGAUAUGUAUGGGAAAUGUAACUGUGUUGAUGAGGCUCGGCUGAUCUUUGACUUCAUGUGUGUAAGGAAUGUGGUUUCUUGGACUUCUAUGAUCACCACAUAUUCUCAGAAUGCACAAGGGCACCUUGCUCUACAAUUGUUCAGGGAAUUCAAUCAUAUCAGGCUAAACAAACCGAAUCAUUUCAUGUUAUGCAGCGCAGUUACCGCUUGCGCGAGCUUGGGGAGGCUUGGUUCGGGGAUGAUCACGCAUGGGGUGGUCAUCCGUCUUGGACACGAUGCAAAUGAUGUGAUUGCUAGUGCACUUGUGGAUAUGUAUGCUAAAUGUGGUUGUGUUAGUUAUUCUGACAAAGUCUUUAGGAGAAUCUCAAAUCCUUCGGUGGUUCCCUAUACUUCAAUGAUUGUGGGUGCUGCAAAGUAUGGACUUGGGACAUUGUCUCUAAGAUUGUUUCAGGAAAUGAUUGAUAGAAGAAUAAAACCUAAUGACAUCACUUUUGUUGGAGUCUUACAUGCUUGCAGCCAUUCAGGGCUUAUAGAUAAAGGACUCGAGAUUUUUAACUCCAUGAAUGAGAAAUAUGGAGUGAUGCCAGAUGCAAGGCAUUAUACAUGCAUUGUAGAUACACUCGGUCGAGUAGGGCGCAUUGAUGAAGCAUAUCAGUUAGCAAAAUCAGUUCAAGUUGGAAGUGAUGAUGAUGCUUUGUUGUGGGGGACACUUCUCUCAGCUAGUAGGCUUCAUGGCAGGGUAGACAUUGCUAUUGAAGCGAGCAACCGGGUAAUAGAAUCCAACCAACAAGUAGCAGCUGCAUAUGUUACAUUGUCCAACACUUAUGCAUUGUCCGGGGAUUGGGAAAAAGCUCAUAAUCUACGAUCCGAAAUGAAGCGUACCGGAGUUUACAAGGAACCCGGAAGCAGUUGGAUUGAGAUAAAGGAAUCAACUUAUUUGUUCCAUGCUGGAGACAUGUCUAAGUCUAGUCAAAGGAAGGAGAUACUAAGCUUGCUAAGGGAAUUGGAAGGGAGAAUGAAAGAGAGGGGGCAUGUGGGAGUGACAACAGGGUUGGUGUUUGUUGAUAUUGAAGAGGAAGCCAAAGAGGAGAUUGUGAGUUUACACAGUGAGAAACUUGCUUUGGCGUUUGGGUUAUUAAACACACCUAAAGGAAUCACUAUCAGAAUAAUGAAGAACUUGAGAAUGUGCAGGGAUUGUCAUGAGGCCUUUAAGCUCAUUAGUGAUAUUGUUGAGAGAGAAUUUAUUGUGAGAGAUGUAAACAGAUUUCAUCAUUUCAAAAAUGGAUCAUGCACAUGUGGAGACUUUUGGUGAUGGAGACUGUGAUCAACCAACAUGGUCUUGAUAUUGAAGAAUUGAAGUCAUCACGUCUUCCUUUAACUAGUGGUCCUCAAAUAGGAUCUUCUUCACAAGUCGUGGGUGGUGGCAAAGGAUUCCAGAGCAGGCUUGGCUGAAAAUGAGGCUCCCAAAAUGGAACCCAUUUGCUUCUGGUCGACCACCAAUUGCCCCAACUGGUGGAGCUCCUGAUUAUUAUCAAGGAACUGUAGCUCAGCAGAGUAAUCAAUUUUUUGAUCAAGGAAGUCCGUCUAGUUUGGAUUCCAGGUCUGCUAACUCACAGUCACAAGACAGACGCAAUGCUGCCAAUUGGGACAAACAGGUGAAUCAAAAGGAUGGUAAGAAAGGUGUCACAAAAAGAAAGAGGGGGGAUUCAACAUCACCCGUGGAAAUGCAUAUUGACAGUUCUUCUCUAGUGGAUCCUCGCAGCACUGGUGUCACUACAAGGAAGCGGAAAAUGACCAAGGCCGAACCAUCAGAUGGUAUUCCAGCUAAAAGUGGUGAAAGUGAAAUGACCAACUUAAACGCGGUUUCAAAUAAUAGUCAAAUGGAGGUUUCCUCUGCACAUAUUGCUCCAGGGAAGCUACAAGGUGGUUCCCUACCUUUUACACAUGUGAUUAAAGGUGCAUGAAUCAAAAUAAAGACGGAUAACCUUUUGAAGGACCAAGUUUAUAUUUUCUUAUAUAUUUGAGAUUUUAAAAUUUGAAAGAAUAACAUGAUACAUAUGAUCAUAUAUAACAUUUCAAUCACAAUUUAUUUUUAGAAACAU